rnacentral:lncRNA from 10 species
UUUCUGAUGAGUGUUUGAGUUAGGAGAUCUGGAAACGCAGAGGCUGGGACCAACAUGUGCGGGCCGGAGCACACAUAUAAAUGAACAUAGGUAUAAGCCAGCAAGAAUAAAUAGCAUAUAUCUAGUGAAAAGAAUCAGAAUUUCUCAAACACAGUAAAUACCUACAUCCUACUUUUUAGGAACCAAAUGCCAACUACAUAUAUAUAACAAGUGUUUUUGCACUCUUUUUCAGAUGGGCCUCCUCUUCAGGGGUCAGCUUUCUCUUUAUAAGGUUGGUAAUACCCUUCUCUCCAAAGAAGGAAUACUGAGGAAGACUUCUUCAUUUAUUCCGUAGAGGCCCUUAAUUAUGGUGGAAACUGGAUGUUUUCUCCUAAGAUUCUUCAAAAUACUUUCUGUUAAAUCAGCUCCAGAUAGGCCAAUGGCCCACGAAGUAGAACUUUUCAUUUCAAUAAUCUCAUAGGCACUAGCAAUCACUUCUUUGUGGACAUUUUUCCAUUUCUCAGGAUCUUUAUCAGUUCCUAUAUCAGAGUUCAGA